rnacentral:rRNA from 1 species
AGAGUUUGAUCCUGGCUCAGGAUGAAUUCUGGCGGCGUGCCUAACACAUGCAAGUCGAACGAAGCGCCUGCGGCGGACCCCUCCGGGGGAAAGCCGCGGGGGACUGAGUGGCGGACGGGUGAGCAACGCGUGGGCAACCUGCCCCGUACCGGGGGACAACAGCCGGAAACGGCUGCUAAUACCGCAUAUUCCCGCGGGGCCGCAUGGCCCUGCGGGGAUAGCUCCGGCAGUACGGGAUGGGCCCGCGUCUGAUUAGCUUGUUGGCGGGGUAACGGCCCACCAAGGCUGCGAUCAGUAGCCGGCCUGAGAGGGCGGCCGGCCACAUUGGGACUGAGACACGGACCAGACUCCUACGGGAGGCAGCAGUGAGGAAUAUUGGUCAAUGGGCGGGAGCCUGAACCAGCCAAGCCGCGUGAAGGAAGAAGGCGCCAGGCGUCGUAAACUUCUUUUGUCGGGGAACAAAGGGCGCCACGCAUGGCGUUGUGAGUGUACCCGAAGAAAAAGCAUCGGCUAACUCCGUGCCAGCAGCCGCGGUAAUACGGAGGAUGCGAGCGUUAUCCGGAUUUAUUGGGUUUAAAGGGUGCGCAGGCGGUCUGUUAAGUCAGCGGUCAAAGCCCGGGGCUCAACCCCGGCCCGCCGUUGAAACUGGCAGUCUCGAGUUGGAGAGAAGUAUGCGGAAUGCGCGGUGUAGCGGUGAAAUGCAUAGAUAUCGCGCAGAACUCCGAUUGCGAAGGCAGCAUGCCGGCUCCACACUGACGCUGAGGCACGAAAGCGUGGGUAUCGAACAGGAUUAGAUACCCUGGUAGUCCACGCAGUAAACGAUGAAUGCUGGCUGUCCGGGGGGAUUGACCCCUGGGUGGCGAAGCGAAAGCGAUAAGCAUUCCACCUGGGGAGUACGCCGGCAACGGUGAAACUCAAAGGAAUUGACGGGGGCCCGCACAAGCGGAGGAACAUGUGGUUUAAUUCGAUGAUACGCGAGGAACCUUACCCGGGCUCAAACGGGGAGUGACUCAGGCAGAGACGCCUGUUUCCCACGGGACACUCCCCGAGGUGCUGCAUGGUUGUCGUCAGCUCGUGCCGUGAGGUGUCGGCUUAAGUGCCAUAACGAGCGCAACCCCCGCGUGCAGUUGCUAACAGAUAACGCUGAGGACUCUGCACGGACUGCCGGCGCAAGCCGCGAGGAAGGCGGGGAUGACGUCAAAUCAGCACGGCCCUUACGUCCGGGGCGACACACGUGUUACAAUGGGUGGUACAGCGGGAAGCCAGGCGGCGACGCCGAGCGGAACCCGAAAUCCACUCUCAGUUCGGAUCGGAGUCUGCAACCCGACUCCGUGAAGCUGGAUUCGCUAGUAAUCGCGCAUCAG